UAUAUAUACAUAUAUAUAAUAUAAUAUACUCGUAUUAUAUUAUUAAAGAAACGAGAAAAACGCGUCUUUCGCCCGUUGUAUACUCGCGAGCGCGCGCGCGAAUCGAUUUGUAACCGUCUCAAAGAGCUUUUCCACUUUGGCAAAUUACACCGGCGGACGGCGAAAGGAAACAAGUAGCGGGGAGGCUGGGGGAAAAAAGAGGAAAGAGAACGCGACAGGGGGAAAAAAAAAUAAAGGGGGAAAAGAAGAAAAAAAAAGAAAAAGGAAAGGUGCGUGCGUUAUGUCUUUACGGGUAUAUGAAAGCCGAGGAAAAAUAAUCGAGAGAAAACGAACUUUCCGUAAUGGCGCAAUAAAUAUCUAAAAGUAUAGCAGUCGUGCCGCUGCACGGUAUAUUAUGAGAAGGGGUGCGUAUAAAUACAUUUUUGAACUCGGAGGCGGGACGCCGUUAUAUUUAUACGUGUGUGGGAUAUAAGAGAAGAGGGUGCCGGUGAAAGAUCGUCGGGUUUUUUUUUUUCUUUCCGCUUUUCCCGUAAUGUACAAAACGUAUAGGAGAUUAAAUUUAUUUAGCAAAAAAAAAAAAAAAAAAAAAAAAAAACACUAAACAAAAUUCGUUUAUCGUCGCGUGCCGUACAAUAAAAUAUCGAUUCGAUUAAAAACCGGUUUCGC